rnacentral:misc_RNA from 1 species
CAGGUAUCCUUCUCUACUUAGCCUACCCAUUUAUAUCUCUAUCUAUAUGCAUUUGAAUGUGCUUCUACAUGUGAAUAUGGCAUCAUUGAUGCUCCAAAAUGAUUUUUUUAUGUUAUCUCUGUUCGUUUGAUGUCGUUCUUUCAAGACCCAGUUGUGCUUUCUUUGUUUUUCUUGUGAAUUUCAUUUGGAAAGUGGAGUUCUUGAAAUGAAACCAGCUCGACAAGGGGUUCUCUGUUUGAUUUUGGUCUUAAAUUUUAUUGGGUUUGCAAGUUUUUACGUGCUUGAUUAAAUACUGCGUAAUUUCUCGAACCAGCUUCUUUUUGUGCCUAUAUUUUUC